GUGCUUGCUUCAGCAGCAUAUCUACUAAAAUUGGAACGAUUAACAUGACCCUUGCACAGGGAUGACCAUAAAUUCAUGAACCAUUCUAUAUUAAA
rnacentral:snRNA from 1 species